rfam:Tupaia chinensis contig53658, whole genome shotgun sequence.
CAUGCCCCUAGAGGUGUGGCAGACAAGGCUGGUGUGUUGCAGCUGUGUCAGUAGUGGGCAGAGAGCAGAGAGGCUAUGUGUACAAUUAGUGUUCUGACCCAUGAACAUUUGAAUAAUUAGUAGCCUGACACU